rnacentral:lncRNA from 1 species
CGAGGCUGCAGCUGCAGGUGGGGCGGGGGCCUUGCGAGCCCAGAGAGCCCAGCACACGCGGCCGGGCGGGCGGGACUGCUGCCGGGGGCAGCCGGGACGCGCCUCUCCAUCCCGAAGCAGCAUGGUGGGCUUCAUACCACAGUACAAUAGAGGUUUAUCUUGUACCGGCCGAUUGAUUCCAUGGAAGAGAAUACAAACCUUGCAUUUCCUCAACUCAACAUCUAAUUUUAUACAGAGAUUCAGAAAGUGAUAACUUGUCUACAGCAAGACACUACCAACCCUCUGGAUUGAGAGUUUUCAGAGGCUGUCUGUCUUUCAUAGGAGCUUCCUGAAUACCAAGACCUGAUGUGUCCAAGAGGCCGUUUCUAGUAGAAACCUGAAGAACAUCUCUAAGAAAGAAUAAUCCAAUGAAUUGAGAACAAGAAGGUUUCUAAUCAGUCCCUGCUAUGUGGAUAUUUGUUAGCAAUGACUGAUGUGGAAACUACGUAUGCAGAUUUU